rnacentral:lncRNA from 1 species
UGUCAUGGAUGACUGCAGACUCACAGUUGAGAAGGAGAGACAUAGAAGCCUUCUGUGACAACCUCUUUCUCUAACCCUACCACUUAGGAAGAAAGAAAGAAAGAAAGAAAGAAAGAAAGAAAGAAAGAAAGAAAGAUCUAAAAAGGAAGAAAGAAAGAAGAAAGAGCAAAAAAGGAAGAAAGAACCAAAAAAAGAAAGAAUCUAUACAGAACGCCAUCUUAGUAACUACUGACAGCUGUUGGAGUGGAAAGAACUCUUGGCUGAGCAUCCGGAAAUUUCACCGCUGGUCCUGGCCUUGACAGUUAUUAAGUGUGAAUUUGGACAGGUCAUGUAACCUCUGUACAGAGUGAUUAUGAAGUUGAGAAUAAGAUGGGCUAUGGCAAGUAUUUGGGAAAUAAAAAGUUUCAUAUG